ACGAGUUUCUUACCCAGUUGUACAGAUCCAUGUGGAUCAAGACUUUGUGAGCUAAUGGUGCAAACACGCACUAUUUCUUUCAUAAAGGAGAAGGUGAAUGUUAUGGAUCGGAUACUGCAAUCAAGCAUUCUUGUAAAUAUGGGAAGGAAGUUAAUUCAUUUCCAAAGUGAAAGAACAAUGGAUUUUCUUCAAAGAUGCAGUUUAUAAGGUCUUAGUCUCCUGACAAUCACGAAGAUGAGAUGUAGCCCUAAGUGCAAUCUUGCCGGAAUUCAUGACAUGAGUCUGCUGCUUCAAAGGAGGAGAUUCAUUUAAAGUGAGAUACUAUUAAGGAAUUCAGAUUUACUUCCUCCUUUGUAACAAAACAAACAGACACAAAAGCCCUUCCUAAACUAGGUCAACAUCUAAUGUCAUCAUCUUUUUGCAAGACAGAGAAGCAAACAGAGGUUCAACACUGAUUAGUUAUGAUGCGCCAUCUGUAAAACGGCACUUGAAGAAAAACACCAAUCAGCUGUAAGAGUACUACCAAGGCUGCGAAAUUUUACGUACAAGAUCGAUCUCAUUUCCAUCGUGGUUUUCUUCUCAGUCUGUUUUGUUCUCUUUGUACAUUUAUCCUAGCCAUUUUCUGGUGAUUUUGCUUUUGCAAAUUUGUGUCUCCUGGCUUUAAUAAUAUUUCUUUUUCUCCCCAGAGAUAUGUGAUAGUAGAUCUUUGAACAGUUUACUCUUCCAUUACCCAGGCUGUUACUGCAGGUGACACCACAGAGAGCAUCAUAGGAUAUCCUCCCAAACAUGAUCCACAGAUUCUAAAAGAUGGUGCAGGUUCCCUUUAUUAUCAAGUAUAUAGGCAGGUUAGUCUACGUUGAAAACAAAUUACAUUAUAUAAACAAAACUGUGUAGAGUGGUGGUUCACAGUCAGUGGUCUUCAGGUGUUUAGUCAUUAAUGAAGAAAAUGCUCUGAAACAAUCUCAUAUAUUCAGAACAUCUUCAGUCACCAACUUGACCAUGUGGCUUGUAGUGGGCCACAAGAAAUAUAAAGUUUGGAUAGUUGCUCCAAAAUGCUCACUCAUUUCUGCUGUGUAGAAUGUCUACCAUUCUCAAAGUAAAAGAGGCAUUUGUAAAAUUUUACACUCUGUAUUCAACUUUUUCCCUAAUGAAUUAGCAUUUGAGUCUUAAACUGAAGCAAUGUUAAUUCAGUAAUUAAAUUGGAUGAAUUAAUUCAACUUAACAGUGUUUUAUGCAAAAACUAUUAAUGUCAGGACUGUUUUGAAGCUAAGACAAGAAACUUUUAGAAACAAGACACAGAUCUUCACAAAAAUUUUACUUGGGGUGAGAAAAGAAACUUUGAGUAACAGUUAUAUCUUCCAGAUUCAUUAAGUCAUCUGUCACUUCCACUAUACAUUUGAGAAUUGUUUCUCCCUAGCUUUAUGAUGCUAAAGAAAUGCUGCAUGAAUAAAAUUAUAUGAAAGUUAAGUCAGGUUGCAACUGCUUCACAUUUCUGACAAUACCCUCCUGAAUUCAACAGCUAACCUCUCUCUGUUUUCCUCAGUGCACGCUAUUUGCAGAUAAAUAUGUCUGUCCAUUUAGAAACUGCUUCAUAGAGCAGUUCUGUGACUUCAUAGCAAAUAUUCCCUCUGUUUGCAUGAUGAAGCCAAUACAUAUUUUGCCAGCUGUUUCCCAGUUGGCAGAGGGGUAAGAAGAUAAUAUUGAGCAUGGCGACCAAAUGAGCAGAUAAAAAUAAACGGACUAUUGUCAUACACGAUAUGCUAGUGAAAAGUAUGUUAUUAAACUUUCAUAUCACAAUAUAUACCUCAAACAAUGAGUUAAGCAAGACAAUCAGAAACCUCACAGUGUCAUAGGCAACAAGUAAGAAAUAUGCUGGGAGACCACAAAAAGGGCAGUGAAAUCAAGGUUCUCUUUAUGCCAGUCCAACAAAGCAUUCAGGCACUAAAAUUCCUAUUAUAUUAAUAAGUUAAGGAGUCUUUUGAAAAGAGUUUGGUUCUUACACAUUUUAUUGGAUCUGCACAAUGAAAAGAACAGUAGUUCUUCAGUGGCAGUUAGAAGACCAAUUUUUCAUUACAAAUAACAUAUAAAGAGAACAAUUUUUUUCUUGCCAAAAGAAAAUGGUUUGCAAUACAUAUCUUACUGUAUUUAGCUCCUUAGAGAAGGGAGGAGACAUUUAAGGCAUGUACAGCAAGUAUCUCCUAUUAGCUCUAUUGGCAUGCUUUUUCCUAACUUUGAUUUGUAUUAUUUUUUUCUCUCAGAAAAAGUUGAAAGCACAGGCCUACAAAACUCAAAACCACUCUGUGUCAUCCAUAUUUUUCAGAGACUAUUUUCCCCCUAUUCAUUAAUGGAAAAUACUUUCCUUAUGCUGUAUACGUUUCUCUGGCUGAUUAAGAUGAGCAGAAUGCCUUUCUACAAGGCUCCUUAUCAAGGAGAGACCCAGCCCUUCAAACAGUUUACCUAUUGAAUGCAGUUUACCUAUUGAAUGAUUCAAGUUACCUGCACUGUAACAUGAUAAUGUAUUCUUUAACUUGUCACCAGAUAAUGAGUAAAAGUUGGCCAUUUAUCAGUCUAAAUAUCAAUUAAAUGACUAGUUUUGUUCCCACAAAAUCACAUUCUUUAUCAGGCUUGUACAAUGUUUUCGUAGGAGUGAGUUUAGCCUGAGAUAAGGUGCCUCAGGAAUGACCGAGACAUAAACACAUUAUUCCUUCAUUUUUCUAAGCUGAGCUAUUCUAUUUGAAAGCAUCUUCUGACAUGGACAGUGAGUUCAAACUGUGGACUCCUUAGCACCUGGUGUUUGCUAGCGUGAAAUUUGCUGGAGGAAUAAUUAAUCAUUCCUUCUUGCCAUCCUACUGAGAAGAGAUAAAAGUCUACAUGUAUUCUAACAUCUUGUUUCUUUCCAUGCAGUUACUGUAAUAAAGCAGCACAAUAACCAUGUAAGAGUGAUGGCAAUAUGUUUGAGAAAACAUUUAAUGGAGUAAUUUGCAGACUGUGUGACUUCAUACAGUUUGAAUGUGUGCUUGUAUGUAUAUAAGUUGUUCACAAAAUCAAGACAUUCUGUAAGCUCAGUGGUAGUUCUUGUCUGCUAGAACCUCACACUUGAAUCUUACACUGCCUGUAAGAUCAUACAAGACUCUUUGGAGCAGAAGCCAGUGGAAAUGCCAGAUGUUCUCAGCAGUGUGCUUCAAUGGUUCAAAAGAUAUGGUUUAUCACAGGGCUUCUAGGUUGUUCGAAGUAGAAAGCAUGGAAAUGACAUCUUCCUUUUGUAUAGGAAAAUAAAUCUUUCCAACCAUGACCUAUGAUACUUUGAGGAAUGCGUGUUUAAUACUUUUUCAACUUCCCCAAAUAAUUUGUAUUGGUCUGACUUUUAUUAUAGAAUUUAAAUCAUACAUGCAAUCAAAAAAGAAACUGAAUGAAACUUACAUAGGAUAAAACAAUUUAUGGCUAUAUAUAAUACAGGUCUAACUGUGUAAUAUUCAAGAAAGUACAGCUCCUGCCAAUUCACCUAGAUAUCUUGUAAUCUUUUAAACUUCCAGUUUGAUGUAUAUAACCAUUUUGAUGGACAAUGUUUACAGUAUAGAAUCUAUAAAUACAACUACUGUGUGUACUCAGAGUAGGCAUUUCCAACUUCAAAAUAUUAGUAAGAUACACAGUUGCUAAAUAUGAUGCCCUAUCACAUUCAAUAACUUAAAAAGAUUGCAAUGUUACCAUAUCCAUUUCCAUAUCAAUUAACAACACAGAACCUUGGCCCUAUACUUUAGAUAGCCGAAAUUAGAAAUUGCUAAUAUAGGUAACAGAGUAUAAUUGGAGCAUUCCUUGGUGUGAAAUGGUGUUGUCUUCUUUUUUAGUCUCUUGUACCUGUAAAUCAUUCCAGAUAACACAUCUUAAAACUGAAGUGACAGGACUGACGAACGAAUUCACACAGACUUAGUGUAACUCUUCACACUAUAUUCCAUUGAGUGUUGCAAUAUAUGUCAAUUAAUAUUUCCUCUUUACCUUACAAUAGUUUGAACAUGUUUUGUUCCUUCCAAAUUAUUUUGAGAAUUCUGUCAUUUAAUAGAAAUAAAAGUCUAAGAAUAUCAAUUGUAUUUUACAUAUUUAGCAGGUAACAACUCAUCCAGGUGUCAAUUCUGAUAUUUUCCAAAAUGGUGUUUUUAAAAUAAGUAUGAUUAAAAGGUCAAGUUGGUUCAUAUUUUUUCAAGAAGACUAUUGUAGCACUUAAAGGAACUAGUUUUUCUUUUAUCUUAGUGUAUAUAUAUAUUUUAUAUAGAUAUAUUUUUUUUACUUCAAAUGGGUAUUCACUAACUGCUGUAAAAGCAUUGGUUCAUGUUUUUCACGUUUUGCUAAUUUGAACACUCCAUAACUGGCACAUAAAAAUUCUUAGCAAAGGCUUAAUAGAACAAACUUACAAUGAGGUUUUUCCUUAAAAGAUAAGCUACAAGUUUAGCUAGUAUAAAUAAAAAGCAGUAUUCUAAAAGUGUAAUUUAUGUUAUUAAAGAAGUUACUCACAAAAAACGAAAUGACAUUUUACAAUGCAUUAUAAUUGUUUAUUUAAUUAUUAAUUUGCAAGAUCUGUAAUUUUUUUUUUCCAGAAGAAAUGCAGCCUAAAAGAUUGAGCCAGUGGAAGACAGGCAGAACAUUUAAAUUCUAUAUAAGACCUUAAAAUAGCUCUGAAAUAGAACACUUUCUUUAUUCUCUUCAGGAGUUAUCAGAACUAGUAACAGUCUACUUCAUUAGAUAUACAUAUCAGUUAGUAACAUUUUAUGCCAUAGAGUUGCCUGUUUCUAAGAUCGUGUCAGGGGUUGUUCUCUGUGAAAACUGGUUUUGCUAGGCAAGAUCAUAACAUGUUAUACUUAAUUAUUAUAAAUAAUUUCUAAGGAGAGAUAGCUGAAUGAUGAAAAAUUUGAAAAGUGGAUGAAUCAUGACAGCUACAGCAAUAUUUAACUGAGGAUAUAUAGAUUUUUUUCAGCCUGUAGUAAUAAAAAGCAAAUAUUAGGAGCAAAGGUGUGCAGUAAGCACCCUCUUCAAAAGAAAUGAGAAGAACUGUAACUCAGAAUCUUGGCAGAAUCAAUAAACCAUAACAUCCAGCAUACAGUGGGGGCAUAGAGUCUGCAGGUUAAGUCUCACCAUCUUUGUCCAUACCAACACAGUACCCUUUGAGAUGCCUAGGAGUUGCGUGCAUUUUAUGGGUAAACCGCAUUGAUCUAAUAUAGGAUAACAUACAGGAAACUGAGUGCAUUAAUGAUAAAAUUUAAUAAAUGAACAUCAUAAUAGGGCACUGACAAGAUCUGCACAUUCGUUUAUAUGAAAAUAUUUUUAACAUGUUAUGCAUAAGCAAAGUAUCUGUUAUUUCAUGAUGUCUACAUUUUUCAAUAUUUAAAGCAUUAAAUAUUUUAAAAUAAGGACAAACACUUUUAACCUUUUUUUUUGGUAGUGACUGAUUGACUUUAUAAAUCCUGUCGCAAAAUGACAUCUAUUUUUCUACUUAUAAACUUGCUUAUAUGUUUACAAAAAAAUAACAUUUCUUUGCACAAAAAUAUUAAUUAUAUUGACUUACCAUUUUUGCAGCUGACACCUACUUGCACUACAGCUUUGAUUUUUCAGGCUCUCACAGUUCUAAUGAUAACCAGAGGGACUAAUUUGAGUAACACUUUUAAAUCAGAAGAAACAUAAGUAAGCAAUUAAUAGAGAUAUUCUCUUCCUAUAAUACAAAGCAAUAAUAUAGUAUUAGCUGUUCUAAAACUCCUCAGCGUGUAUAGAUAACAAACGUUAUGGUAUUUAGAUAGGUUUAGCAAGUAUUUUAAAAUGUAUUUGUCUGCAACUGUGGCACAAAUAGUAAUGGUUUGGUUAAACAUUAAGAUAGUUAAAUAAUGUAUAUGAUAAUACUGAAUAUACAUGUAAUGUUAAAUGUUAAGUUACAGUAAUUUCAAACAUUAGCACAUGCUGUAUAAACCAAAAUUUCAUACUCAUCUCAUCUCAAUCCUUCAUAUAUUACACUAAUAUCACUAUAUGUGUCAUUUUUUUAACCCAAACUCAAAAGAAUAAGGAAAUUAAAAGCUAAAUACUUCGCACUGUGCUUUUUCCUUCAUCAACAAGUACACUCAUUCUGAACGUAAUAUUAUUUCCUCUCUUCUCAGGAGCAGAUGACUGUUAACAUGGUAGGUACUGGUGCACAGAAGGAUUGCUGAAGGGUCAGUGGAAAGCUGAAAUCCCUUAAGCAACAGAAUUAAGGGUGCAGAAAGUUCUGUAAUACCUUUAAUUUUGAUGACAGAUGACUUCUUAUCCUAUCAAAGCCAUACAACACUGACAAUAUCUUCUAAUAUCUAUUUCCAAUAUCCAAUUAACCACAGAACUCUUGGUAAGACAGAACAUUAUAUUUACAAUGAUAGCUCUUUAAUUCCUUCUUAGAACAGCUCAAUAUUUGGUCUUAAGAGUGUGCCAAUCAAAUAUAGAAAAGGCUGCCUUCAAGACAGCUGGGUACCAUUUCUAAAGAGACUAAAAGAAAACACUGUAAGUACUGCUAUCAAAAUAGAUGAGUAUGCUCUACAGUCUAUGAGAAAAAAAUAUAAAGGAAUAAUCUUUGCUACAGCUCUUGGCUGAGACUGGAAGAAGAAUGACUUGGUGUUGCUAUGUUUGGGUCCAUGAAAUUUAGUGUUUGGCAGGAAAGGAGAGAUCACUUUUUCUCAGAAUUACAGAGCUUUGACCAUGGCUUCUCCAGUUUGCAAAAGAAGGUCUGGCUGCUCCUCAGCAGCACCUCAGAGAGACUCCUUUCUGUAACUAAACUGCAUUUUCAUUAAUUUCUACAAUGCAUCCAUUGUGUUUUCCCAAACCUUCCUGUUUGGGGUAGGAAGGCACAAAGGAGGUAAAGACUUCUUAAUUGCAUUCAGUGUACUAAUAAAUUGAGAUGUAUAGUAGAAAAAUCCCCAAGUUCUUGUCAAGAACACAGAAUACAUCCUGUUAUUAAUCUGAACGUAUGCCAACAUUCCUGAGAUGACAUUAGAGACAUAUAAGGUGUAAGGGAGAUGAUUGUGCGUGAUUGAUACUGAUGUGCUGGAGCAAAAUCCUGUAUGAAUACUUAAGAACUCUCACAUCUAUCUUGUUUGUAUAAAAUGAAGAGAUGUCUUGUUAAUUAGCGUUACCUUCCUUUUAAGUAUUUGAAAUGGGAGCAUACCAUCCUUAAUUAUUACAAAUGAAGUUUCUGUUCAUUAAGCAUAAAUUAAUAUUUUCCUUUUCUUUUCACUCAUUACUUCCUCACAAAUAUUUUCCACCUUGAAAUUUUGUUCAAGUUAUACACUUUAAAAUUACAAGCAAUUUUUUGUGUAUUUAAUGUUCCAUAUUAAACAAGUGGAAUUUAAAUUCUCGUUUCCUUGAUGUUCUGUUUUAUGUUAAACAAAUUGAGGAUUAUGCAUUGAUGGUAUAAAUAUACAUAUAAUCACUUCUUUAAUUAUGCAUAUGAUUGCUACCUAACUUCGUAAUACUUUCCUACAUUUACUGCAGACCUAAAAUAUUUUAAUUUUCAAACUAUUUUUCACAAUAUUAAUUCUCUUUCAUUUCAAGGCUUUCUAUUAAGUAUAUUGAAGAAAAGAUCCAUAGUGGACUUCACAUUUACUUAUCUGCAUAUUUAUUGGUUUUCCUUCUGUUUUCUUUAAUGUUCUUUUAAUAAUAAUUUUUAAGCUCUUUGAAAGAUGGAAAUGUAAUCUAGAAAUAGUAGUUGGUAUGUCUUCUGUUCUGCAAAUACUAGAAGAGGGGACUCGUAGUCAUAAUGACUGUUUCUCUGUACCACAAUGGAAAGAUUUAAUACUUAAUUAAAAAAAAAAAAAACCCUUACAAAGACACCAUCAGCUUUUCAAACCUGAUAAAUGUGGCCAUCUAAGGGUGUUUGUUUCCUGUCCCCUUUGUCUGUCAUUUCUGAACUGAACUAAAUGGUUUUCAAUCUGUAAAACUCAAG